UACGUAGGGUGCAAGCGUUGUCCGGAUUUAUUGGGCGUAAAGAGCGUGUAGGCGGUUAGGUAGGUCCGUUGUGAAAACUCGAGGCUCAACCUCGAGACGCCGAUGGAAACCAUCUGACUAGAGUCCGGAAGAGGAGAGUGGAAUUCCUGGUGUAGCGGUGAAAUGCGCAGAUAUCAGGAAGAACACCCGUGGCUAAGGCGGCUCUCUAGUACGGUACUGACGCUGAGACGCGAAAGCGUGGGGAGCGAACAGG
rnacentral:rRNA from 1 species